rnacentral:tRNA from 1 species
UCCAGGAUAGCCUAGUGGACAUGGCACCUGCCCGGUAAGCAGAAGGUUAUGGGUUCGAUUUCCCGCUCCUGGAC